UUUGGAAUGAAAACAAAUUUCAAAAUUAUGGAUUUUCCUAUGAAAUGGAAGUUCUGUGUCUCACAUUGCUGUAACAUCCUUCCCUCUCCAGAAAAAUACAGGGCUAUCUAAGCCCCGCCUACCAUCCUGUCAGUAACUAAGGGCUGGUAGGGCUGUGUAAUAUAUAGAUCUUUAUUAGUGUCCCCUUGUAGCAGGACAGGUAACUACACCAACCUGGCUCCUUCCUAUACAUCUGAUGCUGCAUUUGUCCAGUCCUUUUUAUGACCUAAUUCCUCCUGGCCAGGUCCUUAAUAGUCUCUGACCCUUUGAGUUCUAUAUCUUUAUUAGUGGUUAAUCAUCCCUAGUUCUCUUGGUUUUAGGAGCUUCUUCUUUAAAAGUCCCUGGCUGGGGGAGGUAGGACUUUCCCCAGCUUUUAGCUCAGGACCCAUGUUUGGAACAGCUAGAACUUGAUGUUCCCAGAGCUAUUUCCUACCUCUUAGCUUCACCCACUUUGGAGUAUUGGCUUGUCUGACAGCUUCUCACCAGUUUGCUGGAGCCUUCCUCUUUUGCUAUUCCCCUCCCUCUCUAGCAACUACCACAUCCACCUGCCUUGCAGCCAUUUCCUUUUCAUAGAAGCUUUGGUACUGCCCAUCAACUAUGUCUGAGGAGACAGGCAAAUGCUUCUUUAACUUUCGCUGUUGAACUAGCAUGGGGUAUAUAGACUUUAGAGGGGAUAGGAUAAGGAACCCAGCACUUGGGAAUGCUCUCUUUGUUGACAUAUCAGAGCACAUUGGUGGCAUGCUAGGGUGCAAAGGAUUAACUUUGUUUCUUUUCUGCUGUGUUUCAUGUUGUUUUUAGAACUGAAUCUGAGCGAUAAAACUGACAUCUUGAUCUGCUUUUGAAUUUGUAAGUUCUGUGUAUGUGUGGAACUUGGGCUCCAGUUAAAUCUAUAAUAGAGAUUCUGACUUCAGGAUCUGGACAUAUAGACAAAUAAAGAUGAAUCGUCAAAGAACAGUAGAGGGAUGUGCACUUAACACAAUGGGCAGUAGAAGAAAAGUGAUAAAAUGCGAUGACAUUAGUUGAAAAGCUUUCUGGUUGGAGAUUCCUGCUACCUUUUCAUUCAAUAAGACCAACUCACCAUCUCCAACUUGUAAGAAUGAAGAGUAAGAAAGGAAAUUGAAGUUGUCAUCCUAAACACCAUGUCAGUAUUUCAAUUAACUCAGAAGAACUGAGGGUCAGGUUGAAUCUGUCUGUAAUUGUUAGUGCAUUUAGAAUAUUUCAGAAUCUAAUUUUUUCGAAGUAGCUUUCUGUUACUUUAUCCCACAUUGUCCCUUUAUUGCAGCUUUUUGACUACCUAAAAUAAUGGGAUUUCUUUUCUUUAGACUUGCAACAUCUGAAAAUAAAUGGCAAGCAUUUUAAUGUUUAGGACAUUGUGUUUUAAAAUAUAUUUGUAACCAUUGGGUAAAAAAAGAAAUUCAGUUACUGUUGAUUUUUCUAACAUCAUGAUUUUCUAAUAAAGAUUUUCUUCCAAACAAAGGUAUGUUAAUCAUGCCACAUAACAUAACAAUUUUGUAUUAAAAUGUACAUGGAAAUGAGAACACAGGUGUGGAU